rnacentral:rRNA from 1 species
GUCGAACGAAUCAAGUUUAGGAGCUUGCUCCUAAACUUGGUUAGUGGCGGACGGGUGAGUAACACGUAGGCAACCUGCCCUUAAGAUCGGGAUAACAUUCGGAAACGGAUGCUAAGACCGGAUAAACAAUCUGGCCGCAUGGCCUAGUUGGGAAACACGGUGCAAGCUGUGGCUUGAGGAUGGGCCUGCGGCGCAUUAGCUAGUUGGUGGGGUAAAGGCUCACCAAGGCGACGAUGCGUAGCCGACCUGAGAGGGUGAACGGCCACACUGGGACUGAGACACGGCCCAGACUCCUACGGGAGGCAGCAGUAGGGAAUCUUCCACAAUGGGCGAAAGCCUGAUGGAGCAACGCCGCGUGAGUGAGGAAGGCUUUCGGGUCGUAAAGCUCUGUUGCCAGGGAAGAAUAAGAGCCAGUUAACUGCUGGUUCGAUGACGGUACCUGAGAAGAAAGCCCCGGCUAACUACGUGCCAGCAGCCGCGGUAAUACGUAGGGGGCAAGCGUUGUCCGGAAUUAUUGGGCGUAAAGCGCGCGCAGGCGGUUCUUUAAGUCUGGUGUCUAAGGCUCGGGCUCAACCCGUGUUUGCAUCGGAAACUGGAGAACUUGAGUGCAGAAGAGGAGAGCGGAAUUCCACGUGUAGCGGUGAAAUGCGUAGAGAUGUGGAGGAACACCAGUGGCGAAGGCGGCUCUCUGGACUGUAACUGACGCUGAGGCGCGAAAGCGUGGGGAGCAAACAGGAUUAGAUACCCUGGUAGUCCACGCUGUAAACGAUGAGUGCUAGGUGUUGGGGGUAUCAUGCCCGCGGUGCCGAAGUUAACACAUUAAGCACUCCGCCUGGGGAGUACGGUCGCAAGACUGAAACUCAAAGGAAUUGACGGGACCCGCACAAGCAGUGGAGUAUGUGGUUUAAUUCGAAGCAACGCGAAGAACCUUACAGGUCUGACAUCCCUCUGACGUCUAGGAGAGUGGGCUUUCUUCGGGACAGAGAAACGUGGUGCAUGUUGGCGUCAGUUCGGUCGGAAAAUGUUGGGUAUCCCCGGAACAGGCCCACCCUUAAACUAUUGCAGCAGG